AUUGAACGCUGGCGGCAUGCCUUACACAUGCAAGUCGAACGGCAGCGCGGGGCAACCUGGCGGCGAGUGGCGAACGGGUGAGUAACAUAUCGGAACAUACCCUAGAGUGGGGAUAACGUAGCGAAAGUUACGCUAAUACCGCAUACGCACUAAGGUGGAAAGUGGGGGAGUCUUCGGACCUCAUGCUCAUGGAGUGGCCGAUAUCUGAUUAGCUAGUUGGUGAGGUAAAGGCUCACCAAGGCGACGAUCAGUAGCUGGUUUGAGAGAACGACCAGCCACACUGGAACUGAGACACGGUCCAGACUCCUACGGGAGGCAGCAGUGGGGGAAUUUUUGGACAAUGGGGGGCGAACCCUGAUCCAGCAAUGCCGCGUGAGUGAAGAAGGCCU
rnacentral:rRNA from 1 species